GAUGAACGCUGGCGGCGUGCUUAACACAUGCAAGUCGAACGGUGAAGCAGGAGCUUGCUCCUGUGGAUCAGUGGCGAACGGGGGAGUAACACGUGAGCAAUCUGCCCUGGACUCUGGGAUAAGCGUUGGAAACGACGUCUAAUACCGGAUACGAGGCGUGGGGGCAUCCCCAACGCCUGGAAAGAACUUCGGUCCAGGAUGGGCUGGCGGCCUAUCAGGUAGUUGGUGAGGUAACGGCUCACCAAGCCGACGACGGGUGGCCGGGCUGAGAGGGUGACCGGCCACACUGGGACUGAGACACGGCCCAGACUCCUACGGGAGGCAGCAGUGGGGAAUAUUGCACAAUGGGCGCAAGCCUGAUGCAGCAACGCCGCGUGAGGGACGACGGCCUUCGGGUUGUAAACCUCUUUUAGCAGGGAAGAAGCGAAAGUGACGGUACCUGCAGAAAAAGCACCGGCUAACUACGUGCCAGCCGCCGCGGUAACAC
rnacentral:rRNA from 1 species